UUUUUGCUUUGUGGCUUGUAGAUGAAAGUUGGAGGCGUGUGAUGUUCUUUUGCUAAAUUAAAGAGGAAAGAUAAGAAGAAGUUACUGGGAAAGAAGACAGAGUCUAUAAGCUCUGGGAUUUUACUAGUUUGCCUUCAGCCAGAAGCAAGGUUUCUGCACUACAGUCCUGCUGACUCCAACAUGCUGCUGAAAUGUGCUUCCCUACUGAACACUGCAGUUCUAUAAGACCCUGAGCAGCUGCCCCACCACGCACAGAUCCACUCCUCGCACCGAGGGGUAAGUUACACUUCCCUUUAAUCAUUCCACCACGCUCUGGGUGGAAACAGAAAAAUCCGAACAGAUUUUUACCUUGCAAGAUGACAACAAGAAGCAGUAAGAGCCACUUUGCUUUUUUCAAUGUUUUUUUUUUCCCCUUCUUUACCUUUCAUAUUACAUUUGACGCUACGGUACCUUAAAGGUACAUUUCUACUUCUAUCUCAGCAUUACCCAGCACAUUGUAAUUUCCCAUGCUAACUCACUAACCAGAUUUGCAAUUAAAAGCGCUGAAGAAAAAAAAAAA